UACAGAGGGUGCGAGCGUUAAUCGGAAUUACUGGGCGUAAAGCGUGCGUAGACGGUUAUUUAAGUCGGGUGUGAAAGCCCCGGGCUCAACCUGGGAAUUGCAUUUGAGACUGCUCUGCUCGGGUGCGGAAGAGGGAAGCGGAAUUUCCGGUGUAGCGGUGAAAUGCGUAGAUAUCGGAAGGAACACCAGUGGCGAAAGCGGCUUCCUGGUCCGACACCGACGUUCAGGCACGAAAGCGUGGGGAGCAAACAGG
rnacentral:rRNA from 1 species